AGAGUUUGAUCCUGGCUCAGGAUGAACGCUGGCGGCGUGCGUAAUACAUGCAAGUCGAACGCUUUGUCUUUAAUUGAUAUGAAGAGCUUGCUCUGAUUUGAUUUUAUCUGACAAAGAGUGGCGAACGGGUGAGUAACACGUGGGUAACCUACCUCUUAGCAGGGGAUAACAUUUGGAAACAAGUGCUAAUACCGUAUAACACUAACAACCGCAUGGUUGUUAGUUGAAAGAUGGUUCUGCUAUCACUAAGAGAUGGACCCGCGGUGCAUUAGCUAGUUGGUAAGGUAAUGGCUUACCAAGGCGAUGAUGCGUAGCCGAGUUGAGAGACUGAUCGGCCACAAUGGGACUGAGACACGGCCCAUACUCCUACGGGAGGCAGCAGUAGGGAAUCUUCCACAAUGGGCGCAAGCCUGAUGGAGCAACGCCGCGUGUGUGAUGAAGGGUUUCGGCUCGUAAAACACUGUUAUAAGAGAAGAACGACAUUGAGAGUAACUGUUCAGUGUGUGACGGUAUCUUAUCAGAAAGGAACGGCUAAAUACGUGCCAGCAGCCGCGGUAAUACGUAUGUUCCAAGCGUUAUCCGGAUUUAUUGGGCGUAAAGCGAGCGCAGACGGUUAUUUAAGUCUGAAGUGAAAGCCCUCAGCUCAACUGAGGAAGGGCUUUGGAAACUGGAUAACUUGAGUGCAGUAGAGGAAAGUGGAACUCCAUGUGUAGCGGUGAAAUGCGUAGAUAUAUGGAAGAACACCGGUGGCGAAAGCGGCUUUCUGGACUGUAACUGACGUUGAGGCUCGAAAGUGUGGGUAGCAAACAGGAUUAGAUACCCUGGUAGUCCACACCGUAAACGAUGAGUGCUAGAUGUUCGAGGGUUUCCGCCCUUGAGUGUCGCAGCU
rnacentral:rRNA from 1 species